GAGGAAAUGCGUGAUUUUUUGGAUACAUGGGGGAUUCUUGUAGCAAAAAUGUUUGAUUUUGGGAGAAAAUGGGUGAUUUGGGGGUUAAAAGGGGGAUUUCUGAGGAGAAAAUGUGUGAUUUGGGGUUAAUGGGGUAUUUUUUGAGAGAAAAUGCAUGAUUUGGGGGUAAAUGCGUAUUUUCCAAGAGAAAAGGUGAGGUUUUUGAGUUAAAUGGGGGGUUUUCCAAGAGAAAAUGCGUGAUUUUGGGGUUAAAUUGGGGGUUUUCGAAG
ensembl:lncRNA